UUGAUCCUGGCUCAGGAUGAACGCUGGCGGCGUGCUUAACACAUGCAAGUCGAACGAUGACCCGGUGCUUGCACCGGUGAUUAGUGGCGAACGGGUGAGUAACACGUGAGUAACCUGCCCUUAACUCUGGGAUAAGCCUGGGAAACUGGGUCUAAUACCGGAUAUGACUCCUCAUCGCAUGGUGGGGGGUGGAAAGCUUUAUUGUGGUUUUGGAUGGACUCGCGGCCUAUCAGCUUGUUGGUGAGGUAAUGGCUCACCAAGGCGACGACGGGUAGCCGGCCUGAGAGGGUGACCGGCCACACUGGGACUGAGACACGGCCCAGACUCCUACGGGAGGCAGCAGUGGGGAAUAUUGCACAAUGGGCGCAAGCCUGAUGCAGCGACGCCGCGUGAGGGAUGACGGCCUUCGGGUUGUAAACCUCUUUCAGUAGGGAAGAAGCGAAAGUGACGGUACCUGCAGAAGAAGCGCCGGC
rnacentral:rRNA from 1 species